rnacentral:lncRNA from 1 species
CCGUCAACUUCACUGAGCCACCAUCGGUACCUCCCUCUCCCUUCAAUUCGUGUCUCUCUAACUCUCUGAUUUCCCUCUGUUCCUUUCUCGCUUCUAAAUUUUCACCUCAAAUUUCAGUAAGCAAAACUGAGCCCUAGCCCCAUUUCUGGAAUCGCCGCUGUCGCGGCCCUUCUCCGGCGCGAUGGAUCGCCGUUGGACAUGUGAAUCGGCGAGAGUCGCCGUCAGCAUCGGGUCUCCCGACCUUAGGUGUCUUGCUGCCUUCGCCCUUGAGUUCCAGCUAGCGGAUGCUUCCGUCGAUGCACUCUGCCCAUCGGAACAGAACUCGUUCUGCUUGGUGUCGCCCUUAGGCGCAGCCAUGGCGCUCUGCCCCAAACCCCCAGAUUGAACGGCAACAGGCCACCAAGGAUAAAACUCAACAGGUUACUAGCAUUUUCUAAGUUCAUUCUAUCUUAUGAAAUCUUGGUUUUCCAUACUCCGAUUAUGCUUAUGCUGGAGAUUACACUAGGCAUGAUUUUGCUAUCUGUCGUAAGAAAUUCUCAUUGUAUUUGCCUUGUGUGAAAGUCAUGGGUUGUUGAUUCUAUAUGGAUAAAAGAUUAUACCAUUCGUCUCCUACUAUGCUUUUCAAAUAAACUGAUCAUAUGCUUCAUGGGAAAUGAGGCGUGUAACAAAGAAGAAAGCAUACUGAUGUAAAAAUACCUUGAAUGUUUGUUCUUUUGGCUGUCUGUGCUGCUAUGUUCAAUAAGAAAGAGCUUAAAUGAAUUGCAUAUUUUGUUUAGCAAUUGCAGACUGAACUCAAGAAGAAAUGGUGAAAGAGUUGGCCAUUCUUACCUUUCUGAGUCUGCCAGAAGCUGAAUCAAAAUUCUUUCCCUUUGAGAGUUGGUACACGAAGGAAGAUAUGAAGGAGAAUUUGUUGACUGAAAUUAUAGAAGAAAGGGUUGUUGGCUAAUAGUAUAAAGAGUGGAGUUGGUGCUGAUACUUGAGUGUUUGACAAGAUGAAGCAUGCGUAGGUUAUAGAUGAAUGACCCUUAGCAGCAUGGCUUUGAGUUGAAAAGGGGCUGCAGAGUUGAAGAAAAUGAGUUGAUGUUUGUACUUGCAUACUUUCUAUUGCUGAUUUUGGGCUUUGCGUGUAUGUAGCCGACAGAGUAGGACUUGAUAUUAAGUGUAGGAAAGUUGUGAGGUGACAAUUAAAAUCCCUCCGUCUUGUAUCAUUUGCGCGUUUGUGAUACUAAUUCCGAGU